rnacentral:rRNA from 1 species
UACGUAGGGGGCGAGCGUUGUCCGAAGUUACUGGGCGUAAAGCGCGCGUAGGCGGCUAUUUAAGUCUGUGGUGAAAGGUUCAACGCUCAACGUGAACAGUGCCGUGGAUACUAUCAGUCUUGAAUGUUGUGGAGGUAAGCGGAAUAUGUCAUGUAGCGGUGAAAUGCUUAGAUAUGACAUAGAACACCGAUAGCGAAGGCAGCUUGACUACACAAUUAUUGACACUGAGGCUCGAAAGCGUGGGGAUCAA